rnacentral:rRNA from 1 species
CUCUUGAGUGGAUCCUGAGUACGACGGAGCACGUGAAAUUCCGUCGGAAUCUGGGAGGACCAUCUCCUAAGGCUAAAUACUCUCUAGUGACCGAUAGUGAACCAGUACCGUGAGGGAAAGGUGAAAAGUACCCCGGAAGGGGAGUGAAAGAGAACUUGAAACCGUGUGCUUACAAGUAGUCAGAGCCCGUUAAUGGGUGAUGGCGUGCCUUUUGUAGAAUGAACCGGCGAGUUACGAUCUGAUGCAAGGUUAAGCAGAAAAUGUGGAGCCGUAGCGAAAGCGAGUCUGAAUAGGGCGUUGAGUAUUUGGUCGUAGACCCGAAACCAGGUGAUCUACCCAUGGUCAGGUUGAAGUUCAGGUAACACUGAAUGGAGGACCGAACCGACUUACGUUGAAAAGUGAGCGGAUGAACUGUGGGUAGCGGAGAAAUUCCAAUCGAACUUGGAGAUAGCUGGUUCUCUCCGAAAUAGCUUUAGGGCUAGCCUCAAGUGAUGAUUAUUGGAGGUAGAGCACUGUUUGGACGAGGGGCCCUUCUCGGGUUACCGAAUUCAGACAAACUCCGAAUGCCAAUUAAUUUAACUUGGGAGUCAGAACAUGGGUGAUAAGGUCCGUGUCCGAAAGGGAAACAGCCCAGACCACCAGCUAAGGUCCCAAAAUAUAUGUUAAGUGGAAAAGGAUGUGGCGUUGCCCAGACAACUAGGAUGUUGGCUUAGAAGCAGCCAUCAUUUAAAGAGUGCGUAAUAGCUCACUAGUCGAGUGACACUGCGCCGAAAAUGUACCGGGGCUAAACAUAUUACCGAAGCUGUGGAUUGUCCGUAGGACAAUGGUAGGAGAGCGUUCUAAGGGCGUCGAAGCAUGAUCGCAAGGACAUGUGGAGCGCUUAGAAGUGAGAAUGCCGGUGUGAGUAGCGAAAGACGGGUGAGAAUCCCGUCCACCGAUUGACUAAGGUUUCCAGAGGAAGGCUCGUCCGCUCUGGGUUAGUCGGGUCCUAAGCUGAGGCCGACAGGCGUAGGCGAUGGAUAACAGGUUGAUAUUCCUGUACCACCUAGCAUCGUUUUAAUCGAUGGGGGG